UACGUAGGGGGCAAGCGUUGUCCGGAUUUAUUGGGCGUAAAGAGCGUGUAGGCGGCUUGGCAAGUCUGCUGUGAAAACUCGAGGCUCAACCUCGAGCUGUCGGCGGAAACUGCUUGGCUAGAGUCCGGAAGAGGAGAGUGGAAUUCCUGGUGUAGCGGUGAAAUGCGCAGAUAUCAGGAAGAACACCGAUGGCGAAGGCAGCUCUCUGGGACGGUACUGACGCUGAGACGCGAAAGCGUGGGGAGCGAACAGG
rnacentral:rRNA from 1 species